GGCUUGCUAAUCCUCAUUCUUCAUUCCAGUUCCUGAUGGCUGAAAGCAUGCAGACAGAAAGACUCUUCAAAAUGCUCUGUUGCCCAACUGCAAAGAAUUUCAGAGCAGUGCAAAUAGAAAAUAUAGGCAGCUACAAAGGAGGCGUGAUCAUCAUACAUUUUUGGCCACUGGAAGUACCGCUGGAGAGGUGAAGUUGAAUGCAGGGUGGUUCCAGUCUGGAUUGAGGAUUCUCUACUACAGCUGCAGAAUUUAUAUAAGUGCACCUACAGUAUUAGGACUUUUUAAC
rnacentral:lncRNA from 1 species